rnacentral:lncRNA from 9 species
AUGAAGAGCUGCUCUCGAGCCAGCUCGGGCCAUCGCAGGCCGGUAGCACGAGAGCAGGAAAGACCUCCCGGAGGUCCCUCCAGGCUCCCUGGGGAAAAGGUCUGUCUGGGUCGCUGGGGCCAGCUUGGCACCCUCUGUGGCUGGCCGACCCUCGAGGGCGGGCGACCGACGCUCGCCUCAGGUGGGGUCCAUAAAGCAAGAGAGAACGAGGCAAGGAGAGACAGGGACAGGGACAGGGACAGGGACAGGGACGGGGACGGGGACAGGAAGGAAGGAAGCAAGGAAGCCAGAACGAAACCAGAAGGGAAAGAAUCACGAGUUUAUUAUUGGACGACCGAAGGAAUACCACUUGGAAACGCAAGGCAAGAGCAAGAGCUCCAUAUAUACACACACGCGCGCGGGGCCCUCCAUAGCCCAGGGCAGGCCCGUCUGAGCAAGGGCCACCCUGUCCUGACAGGAUGGGUCCGGAGCUGACGGGGGGUGGGGGGAUGUGGGUGGAACGGAGGGGCUUGGGGCAGGUGGGCCUGAGGGCUCUGAGAGCCUCUGAGCGAGAAGGAGCCCCCUUGGACAGGUUCUUCUUGGGAGUUCCCUCAAGGGGAGGGAGAGAACCCACCCAGCCCCGGGCCCAGGGCCCAGGGCCCAGGCCCCAGGCAGCCCCGGGGGCCUGCUGAGCCAGAGCGAGGAGGAACCCCUGGGACUUGCUGUUCGAGCAGAUGUCCACAAGGCGGCGCCAGAGGACCUCGCCGCCCCAGGUGCGCUCUGCCCAGGCGGCAGGAGCAGGCUCGGAGGUGGGGCGGAGGGGGUGCUGGGCGGAACCCCCCCCCCCGCCCCGCACGGCAAGCACCCCGAGGACCGGCUUUGUGCUCUGGGCCCCUGGGGCGAGGGCAAGGUCCUUCUGGCCUGGGGAGACGAGCCGCCCUUUGCAGUUCGGCGCGAGGGCGGGCAGGCCUCCCCGACACCAGGUUCGAGGAAUGAAGCCGCCUUGAUGCGUUCCACCGGGAAGGCUCUCAGCGAGUUCUCUCGGGGCUGCCAGGCGGAAGCGUCUCUGUCUGUCACUGCGGUGUCUGCGGUAAGUGCCGCUUUGGGAGAGCAACCCCUGGCCAGACAACAUCCCAGGUGGCACGUGGCACCCAGGUAAACUGAGCCAUACGACGUCCUUUGGAGCCCAGGACCUCAGCGCGCACAGAGCCCACCCAGGCAGGCAGACAGCCAUGCCUGCGGAGGAGCCGAGGUUAUGGGUAGCGAAGGCAGUAAGAAGGGGCCUCCGGGCACGACACCUCCGCUGGCAGAGGGUUUUCAGGAGGGGCCUGGGCUUGUCAGAGCAGCGGCCGGCGUUCGAUUCCCGGCCAGAUGCUGCUGGCCAUCUCCUACUCUGGUCCGCGCCGCGUCGCUAAAGGGUUUUGUUUUUCCUCCUUCUUCUUUUUAUUUCCUGCUCCUUCUUCUCCCUCUUGUUCUUCUUCGUCUCUCUCCUUAUCCCAUUUAUACUUCGAUUUGAGCAGAUUUAAAGGGCUCUCUUUCCCGUACACAGCAACGGGAUCCAGUCGGGCCGGGACGUAUACCUGUCAUUUUUCUCACGUUAUCCUCAACCUCGUUGCAAAGAAGGGGGCUCGAUGUUGUUCCCUGACCUCUAGAGCAGCACCUCACUGCUUCCACACGCCAAGUGCGAGAGUCUGCCUCUAGGGACCCCCAAACCCCAGGCCUGCUCACACCCUCCACCUCCACGCCGGCCCCCACAGGUCUGUCCUGCAGUCCAAGAUCUUCCUUUUGGUAGAAAGGUCGCAGAGGUUCUAGCCAGCCACUCUCUGGUGCCAUCUGCGUGGCUGCGAAUGGCCUCUGGCGGGGGCGGUGACGGGGGCGCCGGCGGCGGGGGGGGGGUGCGGGGGGUUCUGGGGCUGCGCCGUAUUCCAUGUUGUAUACGUGCCACGUCGUCAUCAUCCCUUCCUCUGUCGAUGGACGCGGCGCUUGUUUCCACGUCUCGGCUUGCUGUGUUUCCUCAGCGCCGAGGUGAUCUGCGUGUCUCUCCGGAUGCGUGAGGGUGCGAGGGUUUUGCGGGGCCUGGUGCCCUCUGGAUAUCGGGUGGAGGGAAAUGCCUCCUCAGGCCCCGGGUCCAUUUUUCGACCGGGGUGUCGGGUGUGUUUCUGUGCUUCUUUACUCACUUAUUUCCUGGGGGCUGGGUUGUUUCCGUGGUUGAGCUGGGAAUAGGGAAGCCCCAUCCCGACCUGGGCUUUGGGGCCCGGGUCGGGUGACUGCGCGUCGUGCAGGGAAGGCGGGACAGAGGUGACAGCGGGGUGAGCCGCCGCGCCCCUCCCGGUGUGCCUUCUCCCAGGAGGUCUCCUGAACCUCCGCCUUUGGCUUUCCCUGUGAGCCGCUUUGGUUCUGGCCAAACACCUGGUAUGAAGAGCUGCUCUCGAGCCAGCUCGGGCGAUCGCAGGCCGGUAGCACGAGAGCAGGAAAGACCUCCCGGAGGUCCCUCCAGGCUCCCUGGGGAAAAGGUCUGUCUGGGUCGCUGGGGCCAGCUUGGCACCCUCUGUGGCUGGCCGACCCUCGAGGGCGGGCGACCGACGCUCGCCUCAGGUGGGGUCCAUAAAGCAAGAGAGAACGAGGGAAGGAGAGACAGGGACAGGGACAGGGACGGGGACGGGGACAGGAAGGAAGGAAGCAAGGAAGCCAGAACGAAACCAGAAGGGAAAGAAUCACGAGUUUAUUAUUGGACGACCGAAGGAAUACCACUUGGAAACGCAAGGCAAGAGCAAGAGCUCCAUAUAUACACACACGCGCGCGGGGCCCUCCAUAGCCCAGGGCAGGCCCGUCUGAGCAAGGGCCACCCUGUCCUGACAGGAUGGGUCCGGAGCUGACGGGGGGUGGGGGGGAUGUGGGUGGAACGGAGGGGCUUGGGGCAGGUGGGCCUGAGGGCUCUGAGAGCCUCUGAGCGAGAAGGAGCCCCCUUGGACAGGUUCUUCUUGGGAGUUCCCUCAAGGGGAGGGAGAGAACCCACCCAGCCCCGGGCCCCGGGCCCAGGGCCCAGGCCCCAGGCAGCCCCGGGGGCCUGCUGAGCCAGAGCGAGGAGGAACCCCUGGGACUUGCUGUUCGAGCAGAUGUCCACAAGGCGGCGCCAGAGGACCUCGCCGCCCCAGGUGCGCUCUGCCCAGGCGGCAGGAGCAGGCUCGGAGGUGGGGCGGAGGGGGUGCUGGGCGGAACCCCCCCCCCCGCCCCGCACGGCAAGCACCCCGAGGACCGGCUUUGUGCUCUGGGCCCCUGGGGCGAGGGCAAGGUCCUUCUGGCCUGGGGAGACGAGCCGCCCUUUGCAGUUCGGCGCGAGGGCGGGCAGGCCUCCCCGACACCAGGUUCGAGGAAUGAAGCCGCCUUGAUGCGUUCCACCGGGAAGGCUCUCAGCGAGUUCUCUCGGGGCUGCCAGGCGGAAGCGUCUCUGUCUGUCACUGCGGUGUCUGCGGUAAGUGCCGCUUUGGGAGAGCAACCCCUGGCCAGACAACAUCCCAGGUGGCACGUGGCACCCAGGUAAACUGAGCCAUACGACGUCCUUUGGAGCCCAGGACCUCAGCGCGCACAGAGCCCACCCAGGUAGAC